GAUGAACGCUGGCGGCGUGCUUAACACAUGCAAGUCGAACGAAGCAUUUGCGACAGAUUUUUUCGGAAUGAAGUUGCUUAUGACUGAGUGGCGGACGGGUGAGUAACGCGUGGGUAACCUGCCUUGUACUGGGGGAUAGCAGCUGGAAACGGCUGGUAAUACCGCAUAAGCGCACAAUGUUGCAUGACAUGGUGUGAAAAACUCCGGUGGUAUAAGAUGGACCCGCGUCUGAUUAGCUAGUUGGUGAGAUAACAGCCCACCAAGGCGACGAUCAGUAGCCGACCUGAGAGGGUGACCGGCCACAUUGGGACUGAGACACGGCCCAGACUCCUACGGGAGGCAGCAGUGGGGAAUAUUGCACAAUGGAGGAAACUCUGAUGCAGCGACGCCGCGUGAGUGAAGAAGUAAUUCGUUAUGUAAAGCUCUAUCAGCAGGGAAGAUAGUGACGGUACCUGACUAAGAAGCACCGGCUAAAUACGUG
rnacentral:rRNA from 1 species